UCUCUCUCUCUCUCUCUCUCUCUCUCUCUCUCUCUCUCUCUCUCUCUCUCUUCCAUCACCAUGUAUGUGAAUGUCAUGUGUAAGAUAUGGUGAGAUCUAAAGGUACAGUAAGCUUUCCCUGACUCCCACGAAGACAGUGACCCUUCACCACCAUCACCAUCGGCAUCAUCAUCAUCUUCUUCAAAAAAAAUUGUUCUUCUUUAAACCCUUCACUGCAAAAGCAAUUAAAUCUAUAUUUCACCAUCUUCCCUUUUCUUUGUCAAGUUACUGUGUUCUUCACUACUUCGCUGAGCUUAGGGAUUUAGGGUUUCCAGACAGCUGCAAGCUUCAUCAGACCAUCCACAUCUAAUCAUUGUCGCUCAAGAACUAUUUCAGACAUGGACAGAAAACACAAGGGGGUAGAAGCAUCUGCUGACUCAUUCAUUCAAGCACUCGGUAGAAUGAUAUCGGAGACAUUAAAAUCUGCUGCGUGGCUGUGUGAAUGAUGCGGGAGAUACUUUUUCAUCCCUCUUUCUCUGUGCUUGGACUGAAGGGAGCUCCUUCUUUCUCUUCACCAUCCUGUUUUCUUAUUUAUUUAUUUAUUUUUUGCAAAAAAAACAUGGCGAAAUAUGGUUUUGGAAAUGACCCUUUAAUUAGCAUGUAUGUAUGUAUGUAUGUAUGUAUGUAUGUAUGUAUGUAUGUAUGUAUGUAUGAGUAGAGUUGAGAAGGGCUUUGGUAUUUUUCAUUGUAUUAAUCACUUUCGCGUAAAAUUGGCCGUGAUGCGAUGAGGAGAAUCAUCGUAAAUGUUUCCCGAGAACACAUGAUGAUGAUGAUAUCUGUAAUGUUAUAUACGAGCGGUACAUAUAUACAUGUACGUACAUGUUCGUAUUCGUAUGUUGCUUAAA